rnacentral:miRNA from 1 species
GGCCGCGAAGGCGGUGGCGGCGGCGGCGGCGGCGGCGGCGG